GGCUGUUUCUUCAGUUUAUUCUGUGAAGGACUGGGACGCAGCUGAGGUCGGCAUUCACCCUGGCGGUCACACACAGAGGGCCCCUGCUGAGGCCUGCCUUAGCCAGCCUCUGCUCCAAAAGAGGGAGGGGUCCAGCCCCUUAUCACAAAUCCCUGAGCUGCUCCCAGCCCUGCUGGCUGGGCAGGGUGCUCUUCAGCCACUCACAUGGGUGGGCAUGGGGACAGCCAAGGUGAGGGUCAACUCACCUACCUCUUCCUUUGGAAAGGGCUGAAUCCCCACACCCUUCUUCCCAAUACCCAAAUCUAUUGGCCAGCAGUGUCAAGCUUCAGGGUUAGGCUGGGCCUCCCUGGGACAGAUGAGGAGGGCAGCCUCAGACUCCUGAGGGCUUUCAGGGACUCUGCUCCUUGCUGCACCCCACAACAACCGUGUGAGGUGGGUGGGCAGGAGGGUACGACACUGACAGGGGAAACGCUCAAGGAGGUGAUGUGCCGGGGCCAGGAGGGAGUACAUCCGCCAUGCAGCAGGGGGGACUGGGCAAAGGGACAGAGAGGCCUGGCAGACACAGCUGGACAGUGCUACACUUGGGCCAGGGGCAGGCGGCUCUGCCCAGAGGGCCAAGGGCCCACCACAGGCCUCGUGAGGUCUUAGGGAGGCCCCCAGCCCGCCACCAGAGGCAGGGGUAAGUCACAGCCCUGCAGGUGUAGACAGAAGGGGCAGGGGGGAGAGGGCGUCUUCCUUCUGGGGCCAGGGGCCCCACCCGGUGGUACAAAAAUAAAAGAUUUCGGAUCGUAACCCCAAGUCCCUGGAGGUGCUCUGGGGCCUCACAGCCGGGUGCCUCUGGCUUGUAAUAGCUAGAAGAUAAGAGGGGCAAGGGCAGGAGGAGAGGGAGGGGUCAGGAGACCAGGGCCGGAGAGGGAGAGUGAGGGGGAGAGGGGAGGAGGAGGGGGGGAGAGAGAGAGGCAGGUGAGUCACAGGUUGCUUCUGGAGGAAGAGUGGGGUUGAGGCCCCGAGAAGGUGGAUUCAGAACCCAGGAGGGAGAGGGUGGGGGGCGUCCAGCUAACCCAUCUGGAGCCCGAGCCCUGGGCCCAAGCCCUGAGCCCCGAGCCGAGCCCCAAGCCCAGCCUGGGCUGGGUGGCACCUGCGGGGAGAGGCGGGCCUCUGGUGGGGACAGGGCUGGAAAAGGCAAGUCACUGCUGUCCCAGGAAAGGGAGUCACACGGCAGCUGUCUGUCCCCACUUUAGAACCAAACCCAGGCCAGACUUGCCUAAGGUUACAGAGCUGGCAGAAGAGACUGAGUGGGGGCUCAUGGGCACCUGGCCAGGGCUUUUCUACUGCAGUCCCAUCCCUAACUGGCUCUGGCUGACUCCUCAUUGGCCAAGGGUGUCAACAUGUGGCCCGGCCUCCUGAUCCCACAGAAAUAGGGGACCCAUGCCCUGUGUGGUGACGGGAGCUCUUGGGGUACCAUGGCUGAGGCCAAGGCUUGGGGUCCCGGCUCCCCCUCCCCUACCUGGCCCAGGAGCUGGUGGGCAGACGGGAAAGGGCCCCGCCUCCUGACUUUCUGCUCUCAGAGCCUCACCCCAAGGCCCAGACAUGUGCACCCUCCUGGCUUCCGCCCCUCCCUCCAGCUCCACCCACCGGGCUGCCAACCGGGAUGGCAGCUCUGGGGCAGGCCUGGGGCCGGGGAGCAGGCUCGGGUCUGGAAGGGCACGGAUGUGGCCCUGCAGGGAGAGGGCGAGAGGUGGCAGUGGCAGGAGCCGGGCAGGGUGGUGCCCAGGGCUGAGGCCAACCUCAGAGCUGCCCGGUGGUGGGCGGUAGGGCUGGUGGGCACACAGCAGGCAGGAUGCUCUGGGAUGCGAGGCUGCAGGGCUUGGGUGGAGGGCGUGGGGGCCCGGGACCAGGGUAGUCCCAGGAUGGAGGUGGGAGCAGGCAGAGAGGAAAACCUGGACAGGGGCAGAGAGGGAGGAGGCAGGGUGCAGAUGAGGUCCAGGAGCAAGAGGAGGUGGAUGAAGAUGAGGCGGGGCCUCCAGCGGGGGAAGCGGAGGAGGCGGGGUGGGAGGGAGGAAAGGUUAGCGGGAUCCUGAGAUGACUGGGCUGCAAAGAGAAAGUGAGAGAAGGGAUGGUUAUGAGGCGGGCAGGCGGCCAGGCGGCCAGGCGCCAGGCACUGAGCUAACCCUGCGGCCCACCCUCGGCCCGACCCGGCCGCAGCUGGCUCCAGCAGGGAGAGGGCAGGAGGUCCGGCUCGCUCGCCUUGGCUGUUAGCAAUCCUCCUCCUGGGGGUGGGCUGCACCUUUCUCCUGGGCAUCUGCCUCCACCUGCACCUGUGC
rnacentral:lncRNA from 1 species